AAUCCAAGCAUAGGACAUUUCUUAAGCAAGUCCUUAAACCUUUCCCACAUUUCAUACAGUGUCUCAUCCUCUAGUUGCCUAAACGAUGUUAUGUCAUUACUCAGUUU
rnacentral:snoRNA from 1 species